rnacentral:tRNA from 1 species
GGGGUUGUGGCUCAGUGAUAGAGUGCUUGUCUAGAACACGGGAGGCACUGAGUUCAAACCUCAGCACCACA